GAUGAAGAACGUAGCGAAAUGCGAUAAGUAAUGCGAAUUGCAGAAUUCAGUGAGUCAUCGAAUCUUUGAACGCACAUUGCGCCCGCCAGUAUUCUGGCGGGCAUGCCUGUCCGAGCGUCAUUUCAACCCCUCAAGCCCUGCUUGGUGUUGGGGCCCCCUACGUGCGCCGUAGGCCCCGAAUUCCAGUGGCGGGCUCGCCGCGAACCCGAGCGUAGUAGCUUUUGCCUCGCUCAGGGCCCGCGGCGGGCGCCUGCCGUGAAAGAACCCACUAUUCUAAAGGUUGACCUCGGAUCAGGUAGGAAUACCCGCUGAACUUAAGCAUAUCAAUAAGCGGAGGA
rnacentral:misc_RNA from 1 species